UCAAACGCUUUGACGAGAAGAGUAAACAGGUUAGUUCUCCGCAGAGAGCUCCGGCAGCUGAAAAGGAGCGUGGACGGCCCGUUGAACCAAGACUCCGAGCCGCACAUCGGAUUCAUUAGAAAAUGAUGUGACAGACGCCCCUGUUAUCGGGCAUGAGUAAGGAAUAUAUCAUUACUCGCGAAGGUCAAUAUGGCGACAUAUUGAUAAAUACGGGGAGGCACCGCGAUAAUCGCCCCCGGG
rnacentral:ncRNA from 1 species